rnacentral:lncRNA from 1 species
GAAGGGGCGGGGAGAUCCCAGCUACUAGAGGACGCCCGUUCCAAUGGCAACUCUGCCAAGGCGCCUAUGAGAGCCUCUUGGCUUUUACCUGGUCUGCGAGAAAUCAAACUUUGGGCACAAGUCAUGAAGCCGACAAGCCCGGGAGACACAGUGUCAGAAUUACAAGGUGAGAUCAGCCGCCCGGCCAAGCUAUCUUCUCGCUAGCAGGUCUCGCAUCUGGGGCUCGAUCUCGUGCAGAGGAGCAUUUCCGAAGACACUGGCCGCUCCCACAAUGGCUCCGAAGAACCCAGCGACCAGCGGGUUCAUGAGUUUGUUGGGGCUGUCCACUCGGUACCAGCUGCGCAGGGAUGUCAGGACAAAGAAACAAGUUGCCUGGUUCCAGCCCUGCUUCAGCACGGGGCCUGUGGGGCCCCGGUAAGUCCCGGUGUUCCCGCACAAUCUCCUAACCCUGUGGAAGAAUCCCCUGUACUUGGAUUUGGAGAGGUCUGGCCAUGGAUUAACUUCACCUUGAUGGUCUCCAUGGGACAUAGGACCACCACGGCCUCGGCCACGCUAGCUCACUGGCCGCACCGCUGCCCGCCUUGCUGUUCACCAGUCCCUGGGCAUCCCGCAUCUGGUUGCUGAGGAACGCCUGACGCCGCCUUGUGGAUGAAGCCGCAGAGCAGGGAGCUGAGGCUGCGGCCCAGGCCCAGGCUGCCUUGGCUGCGACUGUGUGCCUGCAGGCCCCAUGCCCGGUAUCCGGUGGAUGCGAGUGCUAGUCCAGCUGCAGCUGCAUCUUCACGAACUCGGCUGGAGUGCAGUGGCGCGAUCUUGGCUCACUACAACCUGGAUUCAAGCGAUUCUCCUGCCUCAGCCUCCCGAGUAGCUGGGAUUACAGGCAUGUGCCACCAUUCCCGGCUAAUUUUUUUGUCUUUUUAGUAGAGACGGUGUUUCCCCAUGUUGGUCAGGCUGGUCUCAAACGCCUGACUCAGAUGAUCCGCCCGCCUCGGCCACCCAAAGUGCUGAGAUUACAGGCUUGAACCACCGCGCCUGGCCCUGUGAUGUAGAUUUUGAUGCUGCCAGCCAGGCUGCCUGCCGGGAUCGCCUGCCCUGGAGCAGGAGCAUCAGCCGUGCGUUCCAGGACGCAGGCAUGGCAUGACCGGCAGGAGGCGGAGUGCCCGGCGUCUCUUGGGAUCGGAGCCUCCUGAAUUCCACGCUGGGACCUUAAUUUGGUUUUAACACAAAUAAAGAUCUCACAUAAAGAUAAAAGGG